rnacentral:rRNA from 1 species
UACGUAGGGUGCAAGCGUUGUCCGGAAUUAUUGGGCGUAAAGAGCUCGUAGGCGGUUUGUCGCGUCUGCUGUGAAAACCCGAGGCUCAGCCUCGGGCCUGCAGUGGGUACGGGCAGACUAGAGGUAGGUAGGGGAGAAUGGAAUUCCUGGUGUAGCGGUGGAAUGCGCAGAUAUCAGGAGGAACACCAGUGGCGAAGGCGGUUCUCUGGGCCUUACCUGACGCUGAGGAGCGAAAGCGUGGGGAGCAAACAGG